AUGAGUAUUCGUGAUAUUUUUGAAGACGAAAAGUAUUGUUUCGCAACAACUAUUGGCACUACGAUGUGUUUCAAAGCUUCUAGGUUUGGAUGGUAUUAUGAAACUUGCCCUUCAGGCAAAUCUUCGAACAAGUCGGCCAGGAAGACAUUUCAGUGUGACUGUGGAGUUAAGGAUGUUGAACCUGUCACUAAAUUCAAAAUCAAAGUUGAAGUUGAAUAUGGUAGCCACAAGGGAACAUUUACAAAUCAUGGCUUAGGCUGGAGAAGACAACCCUAA